rnacentral:lncRNA from 1 species
GCCCUGGAAAGCAUUAUGGUUAGACCCAUGUGAGACAGGUUAGUUUUACUGCGUGUGUUCCCCAUGUGUUGUUGCCCAUGUGUUGUUCCCAUGGUAAUCCUGCUCAUUAGUAGAGAAAUCACAGGUUCAGACAUUUGGUGUAUGUCCUUGUCUGAGGAGCCAAUGGGGUAAAGCUACUAUAAGCGGGAUUAGGACUGAAGGACUCUAAGAAUCCCGCCCAUGAGGAAUGAUAAGGCAGCGCCACGGAACCUUUGUUGGCCUCGGGUAGGCAGUCUUCUGCAGUCCCCUCCGGUGUGCCGCUCCGCCCCGCGCUGGGCGCAUGUCCUGCCGUGCUCCGGAAACCGGGAUCCGGUGCAGAGAAACCCCCAUCCUGGGAAACGGGCUGCUGCCAGAAAGGCGGUCACCCCCUGACCCAUCACAUAACGUGUUUGUGGGGAACCUGAUGCUAAACUAUUCGCAGACGUCCUGCUUCUGGGUCAGGGUUUUCCAUGGAGCAGAGCAGCUCCCUCGCUGCUAUCUAUUGAAAGUCAGACCUCCACACAAGGCUCUCUGCACCCGUGUGCGGAGGACCUGGUGAUGUGGUGUGUGAUGUGGUGUGUCCUGUGUAAUUCAGCCCUUGACAUAUACCUUCCUUCCUUUCUCCUGUUCCCGAGAACCUCUUCCCUGGCCCGCUCAUGCCCACCCACCCCUGAGCCCCGGAUCACGCAGUGGGUGUCUCUCGCGAGAGCUCAUCGGCGCCCGCUGUGCAUUGGGAGGCUCACGUCCCCACCCUCGGGCUUUCCAAGGUGCCGCGCCAGGGGUUGCUGAGGUAGAGGUGGCUCCCCUGCUCCUCCUUCCACCUCUCCGAUUCCACCUCCUCCUCGCACCCCGCUGGGAACUCCUCCAGGGGCUGAGAUUGGAUUCACCGAGCCUGGUGAGAAUGACUCAGGAGUGGUUGUCCGAGGGUGUGCCCUGCGGUUCCUGUCCGAGUAGUGUUCACGCGUGCCCAGUGGUGGCCGAUGGGGUCACGGCCCCUCUCCCCACCCCAGGCGCGCGGCGAUGGGAUAUGAACCAGUCACUGCCUUUGUGCUUUCCUCCUCUCUCCGCUGCCCCGGUCAACCAGCGGAGAGUGGGGAACUGCGGGCAGGUCGGCGGAGUUAGAUGGCAGCAAAGGUGGGCCGGCUUGGUGUGAUAAAGUUCCAACUGGGUCCUUCCGCGAGCCCUGGGUCCAUAAGAUGUCAUCGGCGAGCGCUGGACUUGACCGUCAACUUGGGAUUGUUAAGGUAAAUGGUGUCUCCUUCUGUCGCCAAGGCGGUGGCAUGGUCUCGGCUGGCUGCAAUCUCCACCUCCUUGCUUCCAGCGAUUCUCCUGCCUCAGCCCCCCGAGUAGCAGAAAUUACAGGAGUUUCAUGGCAGGGCGCUUGGCUGGCUUGUUUAAAUUCAUUCUGAAUAAGAACUGAGGAUGUCAGCUUCUGGCCUCAUGGACUCUGGACUGAAGAGUCCCCUUGUCUAUCUAUCAUGAGACUGUACACCUGUCACCGUUUUUGAAGUCUAGGAGGCUCACAGGAUGCCGUGGCCGCCCGCCCAUGAACCCAGAGUUGAUCUCUGCACCACGCCAUCACUGCUGGUGGUGAGGAAAUGGUGCCUCUUUCAGUGAUAUGAAGUUAAAACCAGGAGGGAAGAUCAGUGGAGCCUUCUUUCUGCCAUCUUGUGUUACCUUUGCAGCCAAGAAUCAGAAUGAAGAACUUUCAAUAAGAAAAGCUUUCAGAACCAGGAAGGACGUAGAAGAUGUCCUGGUUCUGUACGUUUAACAUUGGACUGUUUCUUCAACUUAGGUGCAUAACAGUGACUAAUCAGGGAUUAUCAUAGAUAAUUUGACUUGGAAUAUAGAGUUCAUUCAAAUACUUUAUCUAGACAAUUUAAGUACUGGCUGAUUUGGCAUGAAAAUCUGACAAACUAUUUUCUUGGUAUUCAAUUGAUUUUUACUCUGUUUGCUGUAGUAGUUUUAUAAACCAAUCAGUCUUCAUUAAAGUUCUGGGAAUUCUUACCCUGUUCAAAUGAUAUGAUUCUAACGUUGUCAAAAAUCUGUAUUCAAGAAUACUUCUCAGGACCUUUUCCAUCCUUUCAUGAAACUCCUUAAAGAUACAGUAUUCUAUAAUUUUGCAAGCUUGUAAAGUUUUCAGAAUUUGAAAUGCCUCACAAUUAAGCAAUUUACUGUAGAAAUGAUUUUAAAUUUUCAUAGACACAGUUGACAAGAAAAUUUUAUUAUUUACAGGAGUGACCCACCACACCAGGCCUCUGAAGUUCAUUUAAUAAAAUUUUAUAAAUAAAUUU